rnacentral:sRNA from 1 species
UAUCAGGAAAGAGAUGAGGUUUUUUUCUUUUUUUUUUUCUUUUGUCUGCGGCGAUUUUUGUGGAGGCCUGGGCUGGCCGAUUAUUUAACCUCAUAACAAAAGAAAAGAAAAAGUCAAAAAAAAAUUAAAAAAACGCUCAAUGGCAUGUUGUUAUCUUUGUUCUCCGUUAUCGAUCUAGUUUGGAGAUGACCCAAAAGUCAUUACCAGCGCUAGAAACUUAUAGAGUACCGUUGUGACAGUACCAUUUGAGGAAUAGGGGGGUGGUGCCUAGAGCUGGGCUCUCAUUUAGGCGCUGCGUCCCCAAAACUCCAGGCAAAGGGAACCCGGAGUUACUUACGGUCCGGUAUUGAGAUUUCCAUGUGUUUGGACGUUUCAACCCGUUAUCGGCCAAUCAAUGAGCAGAG